rnacentral:lncRNA from 1 species
AUUGUCGUCGAAGUAUGACAUAUAUCUAGACGCUUUUUAAGAAUAGAUAUAUUCAUAUUCGGGCAAAUCGGAGAGCAGUACGUGAUUGUUCUCCGAGAAGUGACGUACGAGGUUAAUCAUCGACCAUGCGAUCGUCGUAUAUUAAUUAGGAAGCCAAAUGAUUAGUGUAUGCAUCGAGGUCAACCGAAUCUAGCCAACUUUUAUACAACUCUCAUAGGCCGACACGCAAUAUUACACAUGUAUAUUUCCCAAAACGGAGAUGAAAACAUGAUCUGUUUUUCGGCCCAUAUCGAGAUACACAUAUAUGGCCUUAAUUACGCCGACUUGUGUAUAACAAAACUGUACUCGUCAUUGCCAGACUUCUCUUCGUUGCUUGAUGCUUGCUUGCUUCUGGUCGGUUAGCGAAACAGAGAUCAUUUUCUGGUCUUAGAAGCAACCGGUUCGUUAGCCGGAUCGAUAAGCAUUCACGGAAAGAUCGAGGCCAAUUGAAGAUUGUAUGCAUAAGCAUUCAAAAAUAUCGAUACAUCUCCAAUGUUGCUCCGGCCAGCAAGCAAUUAUAUCAUUCACAUGUCUUUUCUCUGGAUCAUGCUCGAAGUCUACGGUAGAGGAAAAAUGGUGUUGUGUUGCCAGAUUUGCUUUGGGAGGGUACGUACUAGUGACACUUUCCCCUCUAAAACUAAAUUCGUGAUGUCUUUAGCAUGGAGUGCAUGUGUGCAUAUGGUAAUGUACUAAUGUCAAUAGAGACGCCAUGCACAGAGCAAAACUCCAUUAUUGCUUCGGUCAACCAGCAAAACUGAACUCCCUCGCUGCAAAAUCCCAGUAUUUUUUUUCUUUUUUUUUAGAUCCCUCAACGACCGUGCUCAAACGUUGUUUCCAAAUUUCCUAGAUCGAUAAAAGGCAAUCGGGAAUUAAAUCAUGUGAGACUAGAGGAAUCUAGUAACAAGAUACUUUCGGAGUCCACGGAUCAAACCGACUCAUUGAAUUGAAUCUGAGGCGUUCGAUGAAUUAAGAGUAACUUGGCUCUUCUCAAGUUGAUCGGUGAAAAAUCAGGCAAAAACCAGAACAAUCGGAUCCAAACCCAUUCUCCACCAGCGCGGCGAACACAACACAAAAAAUACAUAUAGGUUUCAUGUGCUUCAAACAAGAGAAAGAUGUUUCCCUUUGACGGCAAUUUCUUGUCGAGUAAAAUGCAUCACGUGUCACUAUUCUUUCGCGAAGAUGCCAAGUCAGUUCCUAAUCUUUCAAAACGCAUGUUUAGGUCUUGAUUGUUUGUUAAGUGGUUCGUCCCAGGUUCCUCGGGUGUAUGCGU